CAAGUCGAACGGUAACAUUUCUAGCUUGCUAGAAGAUGACGAGUGGCGGACGGGUGAGUAAUGCUUGGGAACUUGCCUUUGCGAGGGGGAUAACAGUUGGAAACGACUGCUAAUACCGCAUAAUGUCUUCGGACCAAACGGGGCUUAGGCUCCGGCGCAAAGAGAGGCCCAAGUGAGAUUAGCUAGUUGGUAAGGUAACGGCUUACCAAGGCGACGAUCUCUAGCUGUUCUGAGAGGAAGAUCAGCCACACUGGGACUGAGACACGGCCCAGACUCCUACGGGAGGCAGCAGUGGGGAAUAUUGCACAAUGGGGGAAACCCUGAUGCAGCCAUGCCGCGUGUGUGAAGAAGGCCUUCGGGUUGUGAAGCACUUUCAGUUGUGAGGAAAAGUUAGUAGUUAAUACCUGCUAGCCGUGACGUUAAUAACAGAAGAAGCACCGGCUAACUCCGUGCCAGCAGCCGCGGUAAUACGGAGGGUGCGAGCGUUAAUCGGAAUUACUGGGCGUAAAGCGCACGCAGGCGGUUUGUUAAGCUAGAUGUGAAAGCCCCGGGCUCA
rnacentral:rRNA from 1 species